CGAGAACCGCAGCAGGUUGCAAAUGGGUUCUGAGACCUUGAAUUUCCGUGAAGCAAAAUCCCAUAGUCAGUGACAGAACAGAAGAAACCAGGCCUCCUGAGAACCAGCCGACCCAGAAGCAUCUAGGUCAUUCUCUGCUCUGUGCUUCAGAAGAAGGCUGAGGACAAAAAAAAAAAGAUAGAUUCAAGAAGGUAUUUCCUGGCAUUUGGGGAUCAGCCGCUCAGGCCUGAAUAGAGGAGUGGAUGGGGAGGAAGUGAAAUGGACUCCGUUCAAAGACAAUAAAGCUGAUUCAGGGCAGCACCUGAUGUUGCAAGAGCCAUGCUUCCUGGUUCCUUCUUACCUCCAGACCGGAUAACAACCUCCUGGGCCCAGACUGGAAGAGGUGUCGGAAAGGAGAUUAGAGGCAGCUUUGAAGUUCAUCAGAAAACAAGAAACAAAGGGAAUAGAGAUGUCCUGGUACAAAGAAGGCAGCUGAGUCAUAGCUCCUGAAGCAGAAAACUCCAGGUACUCUGUGUGUGAUGGCCCGGGGUGGGGGGCAUCUGUGACAGCCCAGGAGGGGUCUGUGAUGGCAGAGGGGAGGCUGCCUCACCCAGCGGGGGGCAAAGACCACCGGGAGAUGAGACUCCUGCACCUGCCAAGGCGCCCAGGAACUCCAGAAUUGCAAAAUUACGCCACGGCGACCUGAUGGGCACUGAAGCAAACAAACAAAGACGCCUCAGAAAUAUUACGGGAUGCCAGUCAAGAUGAUAAAGGGACUUAAUUGUUCUUCCUUAACAAGAACUCAGAGGAGUUCCCAUCGUGGCUCAGUGGUUAACAGAUCCGACUAGGAACCAUGAGGAUGCGGGUUCCA